rnacentral:rRNA from 1 species
UACGUAGGGCGCAAGCGUUGUCCGGAAUUAUUGGGCGUAAAGGGCUCGUAGGCGGUCUGUCACGUCGGGAGUGAAAACUCAGGGCUUAACCCUGAGCCUGCUUCCGAUACGGGCAGACUAGAGGUAUGCAGGGGAGAACGGAAUUCCUGGUGUAGCGGUGAAAUGCGCAGAUAUCAGGAGGAACACCGGUGGCGAAGGCGGUUCUCUGGGCAUGUCCUGACGCUGAGGAGCGAAAGUGUGGGGAGCGAACAGG